GCACUAACUAAAAAAAGCUAAUAUGGUUUAGAGAAUUAAAAGCCACCUGUGAAUAGAUUUUGUCAUUUUAUAAAAUUCAUAACGUUAAAUGGAGCAUGUUAAAAGAAAUCUCGUUUGGUCUAAAGGGAUAUUAUAGCCACUUGUGAUGUACUGAAUCAAAGUUGUCUGUUGGAGUUACUCAGUGAUGCCUGAAGUACGUGAUACAUAAAGUAUUGUAUAUAGAUUAUUUUGAUUGGGCAGAAGAUGAAUAAACCUUCUUGUUAGAUGCAAAAGGAAUCUCAACGUGUGUGUUUCAUCUUUUCUAUGUCGCAGAGUCACACAUUGAAAGAACGAAAUUUAUACAUUAACCUGAGCCCAUCCAAGGUUGGUGGGUAACAUAGCUAAGCUAUAUGCUUCAAAUUUCUAAUUUGUAAUCCAUGACUUCUUUUAUGCUUGGGAUAUAAAAUGCUUGUAAAGUACCACUGAGGGUCUGCUGUGUUUUGGGCAUGUUUUUCUUCCAAGGGACCUUGAAACUUUGUUGAAAUGGAUUCUAACACUCAGGUGGAUUUUAUUUGAAAACUAAAAGCUAGUAGUCAUAUGGAUUUAUAAUAGGACUUGCCAAAUCUGUGCAGAAAUGCUUCAAAAAGACACAAAUUUAAUCUUUUCUCAUGGUAAUUUCAGUUCCCAGAAAUAAAGAAAGUUGAGUAGAGCUGAAGAAAUCAUGAGAGAGGACGCAGGAUUCUGAACGAUCAAGAGAGAUUCUCCAAAGAUCCUGUUUCCUAUAUGCUCCAUCGAUGUGAAAUGUUCAGUAGAGAAGUGCUUCUCUGCUGACAGAAGUUCACUCACCACCACUGACGUCCCAGUUACUGCAGUCUCUCUUGUCCAUUUUUAUUGACAGCUAGAGACAUGUUGUCCCACUGGGAGUUUCUCCAGGACAGCUUUGAUUUGCUGCUCCGUUGCAAGGCAGGCUAUGUUAAGAAAGGUCAGAAAAGACAGAGGCAGAAGGCUCUAGUCUUGGCCCUCUCCGAGAGAAACAGAAGGACACUCCGAGCCUGCCUCCCACCCGCCCUAGUGUAGGCAGUUGGGGGCAAAAGCUGUGGCAAGACUGUGGAU